rnacentral:rRNA from 1 species
UACAGAGGUCUCAAGCGUUGUUCGGAUUCAUUGGGCGUAAAGGGUGUGUAGGUGGCGCGCUAAGUCGGGUGUGAAAUUUCGGAGCUUAACUCCGAAACUGCAUUCGAUACUGGCGUGCUUGAGGACUGGAGAGGAGACUGGAAUUCAUGGUGUAGCAGUGAAAUGCGUAGAGAUCAUGAGGAAGACCAGUGGCGAAGGCGGGGUCUCUGGACAGUUCCUGACACUGAGACACGAAGGCCAGGGGAGCAAACG